GGAAGUAAAAGUCGUAACAAGGUCUCCGUAGGUGAACCAGCGGAGGGAUCAUUA
rnacentral:rRNA from 1 species